AAACUCAAAGGAAUUGACGGGGAGCACCACAACGGGUGGAGCUUGCGGUUUAAUUGGAUUCAACGCCGGAAAUCUUACCGGGACCGACAGCAAUAUGAAGGCCAGGCUGAAGACUUUGCCGGAUUAGCUGAGAGGUGGUGCAUGGCCGUCGUCAGUUCGUACUGUGAAGCAUCCUGUUAAGUCAGGCAACGAGCGAGACCCACGCCCACAGUUGCCAGCGUACUCUCUGGAGUGACGGGUACACUGUGGGGACCGCCGCUGCUAAAGCGGAGGAAGGAAUGGGCAACGGUAGGUCAGUAUGCCCCGAAUAUCCCGGGCUACACGCGAGCUACAAUGGUUGGUACAAUGGGUAUCUACCCCGAAAGGGGACGGGAAUCUCCUAAAACCAAUCUUAGUUCGGAUUGAGGGCUGCAACUCGCCCUCAUGAAGCUGGAAUCCGUAGUAAUCGCGUUUCAACAGAACGCGGUGAAUACGUCCCUGCUCCUU
rnacentral:rRNA from 1 species